GUGUUUAUUGAAAGGAGAUACACUUAGCACUUUCCCUGACAAGCAUGGAACGCACAGUUUCGUUAAGUCACUAAUUAACCUAACAUUUUCU
rfam:Bombyx mori DNA, contig: Bm_scaf3354_contig48548, strain: p50T/Dazao, build 2, whole genome shotgun sequence.